rnacentral:misc_RNA from 1 species
AAUUCUCAACUUCAUUAGUUUUUAUAACUGAUUGAAGCUUGGAUGUGGGGGUUUGCUGGCAUCUUUAGAUGUUUUCGGCUCCCCUUAAAUGCAUUAGUAGGAACCCGUUUGUAGGCGUUCAUAGUGUGAUAAUUAUCUACACUUUGGUCAGUUCAACAGGCUCUAAUGAAUCUUCAGAACAUUAACGUGUUUCUGGCGUGGGUUUUGCACCUGGUGCUUUACCUGUUUUUCAUUAGAGUAGGAAAUCUGCUCUCUAACCGUCUGCGUUUUGUGGACAAUAUUUGACA